rnacentral:rRNA from 1 species
GAUGAACGCUAGCGGCAGGCUUAAUACAUGCAAGUCGAGGGGUAGCAUAAUUGUAGCAAUACAAUUGAUGACGACCGGCAAACGGGUGCGGAACACGUACACAACCUUCCUACAAGUGGGGAAUAGCCCAGAGAAAUUUGGAUUAAUACCCCGUAACAUAGCGAUGUGGCAUCACAUUGCUAUUAUAGCUUCGGCGCUUGUUGAUGGGUGUGCGGCUGAUUAGAUAGUUGGCGGGGUAACGGCCCACCAAGUCUACGAUCAGUAGCUGAUGUGAGAGCAUGAUCAGCCACACGGGCACUGAGACACGGGCCCGACUCCUACGGGAGGCAGCAGUAAGGAAUAUUGGACAAUGGACGCAAGUCUGAUCCAGCCAUUCCGCGUGCAGGAUGAAGGCCUCGGUUGUAAACUGCUUUUGUACGGAACGAAAAGGUUUCUCUUAAUACGAGGAGCUCAUGACGGUACCGUAAGAAUAAG